rnacentral:pre_miRNA from 1 species
CGGGGGAGGCGGGAUCCUGGGCUGUGUCCCGGCGCCCUGUGCUCCGGGGCCUGCGCUGUUGGAUUUGCGCUCCCGCCCCGCAGCCCCCU